rnacentral:rRNA from 1 species
GACGAACGCUGGCGGCGUGCUUAACACAUGCAAGUCGAACGGAAAGGCCCUGCUUUUGUGGGGUGCUCGAGUGGCGAACGGGUGAGUAGCACGUGAGUAACCUGCCCUUGACUUUGGGAUAACUUCAGGAAACUGGGGCUAAUACCGGAUAGGAGCUCCUGCUGCAUGGUGGGGGUUGGAAAGUUUCGGCGGUUGGGGAUGGACUCGCGGCUUAUCAGCUUGUUGGUGGGGUAGUGGCUUACCAAGGCUUUGACGGGUAGCCGGCCUGAGAGGGUGACCGGCCACAUUGGGACUGAGAUCCGGCCCAGACUCCUACGGGAGGCAGCAGUGGGGAAUAUUGCACAAUGGGCGGAAGCCUGAUGCAGCAACGCCGCGUGCGGGAUGACGGCCUUCGGGUUGUAAACCGCUUUCGCCUGUGACGAAGCGUGAGUGACGGUAAUGGGUAAAGAAGCACCGGCUAACUACGUG